rnacentral:tRNA from 1 species
GUGAGUAUAGCUCAGAGGUAGAGCGCGUGCUUAGCACGCAUGAGGUCCUGGGUUCAAUCCCCAGUGCCUCCA